rnacentral:rRNA from 1 species
UAGAAGAUGACGAGCGGCGGACGGGUGAGUAAUGCUUGGGAACAUGCCUUUAGGUGGGGGACAACCAUUGGAAACGAUGGCUAAUACCGCAUAAUGUCUACGGACCAAAGGGGGCUUCGGCUCUCGCCUUUAGAUUGGCCCAAGUGGGAUUAGCUAGUUGGUGAGGUAAUGGCUCACCAAGGCGACGAUCCCUAGCUGGUUUGAGAGGAUGAUCAGCCACACUGGAACUGAGACACGGUCCAGACUCCUACGGGAGGCAGCAGUGGGGAAUAUUGCACAAUGGGCGCAAGCCUGAUGCAGCCAUGCCGCGUGUGUGAAGAAGGCCUUCGGGUUGUAAAGCACUUUCAGUUGUGAGGAAAGGUUAGUAGUUAAUACCUGCUAGCUGUGACGUUAGCAACAGAAGAAGCACCGGCUAACUCCGUGCCAGCAGCCGCGGUAAUACGGAGGGUGCGAGCGUUAAUCGGAAUUACUGGGCGUAAAGCGUACGCAGGCGGUUUGUUAAGCGAGAUGUGAAAGCCCCGGGCUCAACCUGGGAACUGCAUUUCGAACUGGCAAACUAGAGUGUGAUAGAGGGUGGUAGAAUUUCAGGUGUAGCGGUG